CCCUAUGGGUUGUAAACUGCUUUUAUAAGGGAAUAAAGUGAGUCUCGUGAGACUUUUUGCAUGUACCUUAUGAAUAAGGACCGGCUAAUUCCGUGCCAGCAACCGCGGUAAUACGAAAGGUCCGGGCGUUAUCCGGAUUUAUUGGGUUUAAAGGGAGCGUAGGCCGGAGAUUAAGCGUGUUGUGAAAUGUAGACGCUCAACGUCUGCACUGCAGCGCGAACUGGUUUCCUUGAGUACGCACAAAGUGGGCGGAAUUCGUGGUGUAGCGGUGAAAUGCUUAGAUAUCACGAAGAACUCCGAUUGCGAAGGCAGCUCACUGGAGCGCAACUGACGCUGAAGCUCGAAAGUGCGGGUAUCGAACAGGAUUAGAUACCCUGGUAGUCCGCACGGUAAACGAUGGAUGCCCGCUGUUGGUCUGAAUAGGUCAGCGGCCAA
rnacentral:rRNA from 1 species